GGCGCCGCGGGCGGGGCGGCAGCCUAGAGCGGCCCCGGAGAGCGAAAACGGAACUGCAGGUGACUUCGGAACCCAGCCGCCUCUGAAGGGAGGGCGGCCCCCAUGAGGACUGGUGCAGGCUUUUCACGAGAUAUCGGUUUUGUUUUCACGGCGCAGAGAGAAUUUCAUAUCCAUGAAGGCUGGGACUACUUUGUGCACUGCUGUAUCAUCAACAUCCCAACAUCUAAAAUACUUCUGGGCACAUACUAGGUUCUCAAUAAAUAUUUGCUGAAUGAAUGAAUGAGCCAAUGAGGAAGAUAAGCUGCUAGAUUGAGAAAAAAACAAUGGCUGUGAUAUGGAAAUCAAGGAAGUAUUUUAAGGAGGAAAGUGCUCAGUAGAUGUGCCAUGGAAAUGGCCAUGGAUCUGGCUGGAAACGAUACAACUGAUUGACUCUGUAUGCUCUGGAGUCUCCAUCCUCUGACCUAUCCACUGAUGCUCAGAUGCCCCAUCCUCUCACCCCCUUUAAAGGUGGAUGUGGCUCUAACCGGUUUGGCUCAGUGGAUAGAGCGUUGGCCUGCAGACUCAAGGGUCCCAGGUUUGAUUCCUGUCAAGGGCAUGUACCUUGGUUACGGGCACAUCCCCAGUGGGGGGUGUGCAGGA